ensembl:lncRNA
AAUUUCUACUGAGUCCCACCUUGUCCUGUGUCCGCCUCCUGCCUCCCACCACUCCAUCUUUGAAACAGCUUCACAGAGGUGGAAUUGAAACAUCUCCAUUGCCAGCAAAGCCUGAGAAGUGUUGCUUUCUGACCCCUUGGUUAGACUAGAGUACUGAGGAUUUAACCUAAUCUCUUCCCAUUGAGCUACAUAUGUAGCCCUUUUUAUUUUUUGCUAAAUCACCCAGAACUGUCUGGAACUUUUCAUCCUCCUGCCUCAGCUUCUCAAAAUGCUGACAUUUCAAGGAUCACAGAGGCAUUUUGAGUGAAAAGGAGCCUUUCGGUCCACUCCAGAAAUCUCCCAUCACCCUCUCAGGUGCCUGAGGACAAUGCCACAUCUAAUCCAUUCUCCUCACUGCCCAGAACCCAGCUCUGCACAUACUGGGCACCCAGAGAUUGUUUACAGAAGAUGCCAAAUUGCCUCAUUACUGAAUUGUGUUGAGUGAAUGGAAAGUUAUGGAAAUGCAUUCCCGGUGACUGGCUCUUCAAAGACACAAAAUGGUGGGAUGAAGAUUUGUGAAGGACUUUAGGAGGCACUGAAGAU